rnacentral:lncRNA from 1 species
GCGGCAUAUGGAGGUUUCCAGGCUAGGGGUCUAAUCAGAGCUGCAGUCUCCGGCCUACGCCAGAGCCACAGCAACGCGGGAUCCGAGCCGCGUCUACAACCUACUCCACAGCUCACGGCAACGCCGGAUCGUUAACCCACUGAGCAAGGGCAGGGACCGAACCCGCAACCUCAUGGUUCCUAGUCGGAUUCGUUAACCACUGCGCCACGACGGGAACUCCAUAACCAUGUUCAAUUAAGUGCUUGUCAAGUACUCAGGCUUUUGAGCUCUAGAUGGCUCACAAAGUGAACAGCCCUUUAGGAACAGGACCUUCAGGGCAGCCCAGUGAAUUUAAAAUGUCUCAUCUCCCCACAGGUGUCCAGGUAUUGUGUAUCUAAUCCAGGCUGGGCUCCCCAGGGGGGCCUGCUGAAAAAAGUCUCUGCACUCAUUAAAUGCCCACUGGGAGUGCUGCCCAGUGCUCCCCAGGACCCAUAGGCUUGCCAAGGCUGUCAACAGAUUAACCACAUUCAUACUAGAUAAAUACAAGGGUCCUGACUGGUUGGAUUGUCUUUGUUUCCUUGCCCAUAUGAUGCCAAGUCAGGAUGGGUUGGUACUAUUUCAGUGCUUUUUGUCAAAGCUGAGCUGUAGUCUUCUCACCCCCAAACACUUUAUCACUCUGCUGGAGGUUGGUGGAGUCUUUUUUGCCUCUGUACAUGGGUUUCCCUCCAUACUCUGUUCUUCUCCAUCACCGUUCUGAGGAUUAUGUAUCUGACUUACAGGGGAGGAGCAAAAAGAGGUACAGAGAAAAUAACAUGCUCCUUUGUUUCUCAAAAAAAGAAUACCAACUCAGAACCACCCUUCUUAGUAUCAAUACAGCCCUGUCACUUGGCCAAACAGAAGAGGCAGUGGGAGAUGGAUUUUACACGCAAGAGGCCUAGUUUAAGGACCUAUGACUAAAUAGUACUACGGAGCCAGGACAUAAAACUAGACCACCAGGAUUACAAAUAUAUGGCCAAAGCAGACAUUGCUGAUCAAUCACAGCACUCCUCUGAAACAGGAUCUGGCCUUUCCAAUGUUCCUCAAGACAGUGCUCUUGGCAGCCAUUACCAAUCAAUCAGAGCACACAUAAUAAAUCUUAUUUUUAAGUAUGAACUAGUCUUUGGUCUUCUUAUGGGCAGGGAUUCCACCUUAUGAAGGUAUUUACCUCCACAUAACAUAAUCUAACACGAUGUAAUCUUGAUAGCCUUCAAUGUUUGUUGAACACAUAAAUGAGUGAAAUAAUGAUUUAAAGCUGCUAUUUUGACAGAUAUGACUCAGUCCUCUUCUAGGUAAUCUAUCUUCCUUUGGCUGAGAUGGGGAAAUUUUCUAGGUACCAAAUUUGUGCUUUGUUCACAUGUUCCUCUCAUGCUGCUUGAGCUGUACAAUUUUCUACACUGCUCC